rnacentral:tRNA from 1 species
ACUAAAAUAGCUUAAUAAGAGUGUGAUAUUGAAGAUAUCAAGGUAAUGUUUACAUUUUUUAGUA